rnacentral:rRNA from 1 species
UACGUAGGUGGCAAGCGUUGUUCGGAAUUAUUGGGCGUAAAGGGCGCGUAGGCGGUUCGUUAAGUCAGUUGUGAAAGCCCGGAGCUCAACUCCGGAGAGUCGACUGAUACUGGCGAGCUAGAGUACGGAAGAGGUAGCUGGAAUUCCCGGUGUAGCGGUGAAAUGCGUAGAGAUGUGGAGGAACACCAGUGGCGAAGGCGACUCUUUGGCCUGUAACUGACACUGAGGCGCGAAAGCGUGGGGAGCGAACAGG